rnacentral:rRNA from 1 species
AAACUUUCAACAACGGAUCUCUUGGCUCUGGCAUCGAUAAAGAACGCAGCGAAAUGCGAUAAGUAAUGUGAAUUGCAGAAUUUAGUGAAUCAUCAAAUCUUUGAACGCACAUUGCGCCCCUGGGUACUCCUAGGGGCAUGCCUGUUCGAGCGUC